rnacentral:lncRNA from 1 species
GUUGAACGACUAUUAUGCCGACCUAGUCUUAACUAAGCAGAAUACUAUGCCAAUAUGAUCCAGGUCGAAUUGAAAUUAUACCAACUCGACUAUGGUCGGUCGAAGGAUAUUUGACUUGCCACCGAUUAUCAAAUAACCUGAUGUACUAAACCCGACUAAAGUUGAACGAAGGAUAUUCGAUUUAUUAUCACUUAUCCUAAUACUUAAGUACGUCAAUGGAUGUUUGACUAACGAAAGAAUUCU